AGCUCAGUUGGUUUAGAGCAUCUGCUUACAAGCAGAGGGUCGGGGGUUUGAAUCCCUCA
rnacentral:tRNA from 1 species